GUAACCGUUCGUUACAAAUGUUUAGUAUUUUUUUAAUUUGUGCUCUUGUUAUGUGAACAGUCACGUCUCUAGCGUUAAGUGGUGUUGGAUUAGGAUAGCGUUAUUUAGAAAAAGGGUUUUAAGUGUUAAAAAGAUUAGUCAAAUGUAAAAAUAUGUAACUAAAAUUGUUAGUGGAUUAGGCGUGAUUUUGAAUGUACAUGAAAACAGAUAAGAGGGUAGAUUGCAUGCAAGCUAUGGAUUAAGGACAAAAAUGGCUGAAACGAUAAGUGGACCUACAGGCGCAUUACGUUAAAUAGGUGGUAACAACCCCCAACCCAAAUUGAGGUAAAUUGAAGAAGGGAGGAAAAUUGUAUAAGGGGGUCGGGCCAAGUUGAAGAAGCGCCAUUGCCCCAAUCUGUUAAAGGCGUUCGUGUGCUCCAGGUGUCGUUCUAAAGUGUCCAAGUAACGAAAAGUGAGUGGUAUUUCUUAAAUCGGGAGAGAAACUUGAAGUCAUCAGGACCUUUUUCUGUUUGCCUUAAAAUCGCCAUUUUGUCUGGUCUGGCGUGCCAUACCAGGAGCAUUCGUUUCGGCAUAGUAGACCUAGUCUGCUACGCCUAACCCGUCAAGGAUCGUCGUAGGCCUCUGGUCAGAUUGGCCAUAAUCGUAAAGGAGGUCCACAGCUCGGGGUUGACACCCCUAAACGUUAAAGAGCUCUUACCCCUCUCGGCACGGUCACUCCGGUACCGUCCUGGGCCGUGUCGAUUGCCGUCAAAGAGGGAAGACGCCUUACCGUCGGUCGAGGAACCGACCCCCUUCGACAAUCGCCAAAAUUGUCGUAGUAACGUACUCACCAGUCCGUCCAGCAAGUACCUCAGCGAGCGCUCGCAGGACUCCCAAGGAACGUCGGCAGCAGCAGGAAGCAGUAAGCCGUACCGGUACGUGAACAAAAAAAAACCAUUAUACCUACCCACAACUACACAGUUUAUAAUAGUCCAAAUAGAUCCUCUAAAACCCUCAAUAGUUUAGCUUGCAACAAUAGACUAAAUCGCUCAAUAAAUCACUAGUUUUUCCUUCAAA